UUCGAAGAUGAUACAUGGCUCUGAACUUGGAUUGGUGGCGCAAACUGGAAAAUCAAAGUGGAAUGCAUUGAACAGACGAAGUUCGUCACAUGGACUUGGUUCGACAUAGAAGUGCCCAAAAAAAUUUACGAUACCCUGACGGUGAAUUUUGAGUUCUCUGCGGAACACAAUGGCUGCAAGGUGACAGUGACACUGACUUAC